rnacentral:rRNA from 1 species
AUGAACGCUAGCGACAGGCCUAACACAUGCAAGUCAGGGGCAGCACAAGGAGCAAUCUGAGGUGGCGACCGGCGCACGGGUGAGUAACACGUAUGCAACCUGCCUGUAAGAGGGGAAUAACCCGUUGAAAGACGGACUAAUACCGCAUAAUACUAAAUUACUGCAUGGUAAUUUAUUUAAACAUUUAUGGCUUACAGAUGGGCAUGCGCAUGAUUAGCUAGUUGGAGAGGUAACGGCUCCCCAAGGCAACGAUCAUUAGGGGUUCUGAGAGGAAGGUCCCCCACACUGGUACUGAGACACGGACCAGACUCCUACGGGAGGCAGCAGUGAGGAAUAUUGGUCAAUGGACGAGAGUCUGAACCAGCCAAGUCGCGUGCAGGAAGAAUGUCCCUAUGGAUUGUAAACUGCUUUUGCAGGGGAAUAAAGUGCAUCACGUGUGAUGUUUUGUAUGUACUCUGCGAAUAAGGAUCGGCUAACUCCGUGCCAGCAGCUGC